GAAUAGAAGAGAGGGGUCUGAGGAGGAAAAGAAACAUCAAACAUGUUACUAUGAAUAUAUCAUCAUCAUCAUCUUCUUCUUCUUCUUCUUAAUUUCAAAGAAACUUCCAGCCUGCUUUCUGAUUUCAAGAGAAAGAAAAAGAAAAGUUUUUGUUUUCUCUUUUGUUUACAUAAAAAUCCAAUCUUUUGUUGGGAUUUGCCUGCUUCAACACAAACCUCUCACUGCCCUUUUCUCUUAUUCCCAGAUUGGAAAUCUUCUGAAGUAUUCUCCAAUCUCCACAGAUCUCUUGGUAUAUACAUAUAUAGAUACAUACAUAGAAG